AGGGUGACAGGUGGUGCAUGGUUGCGUCAGCUCGUGUCGUGAGAUGUUGGGUUAAGUCCCGCAACGAGCGCAACCCUCGACCUUAGUUGCCAGCAUUCAGUUGGGCACUCUAAGGUGACUGCCGGCUAAAAGUCGGAGGAAGGUGGGGAUGACGUCAAAUCAUCAUGCCCCUUAUGACCUGGGCUACACACGUGCUACAAUGGGCGGUACAAAGGGUCGCGAACCCGCGAGGGGGAGCCAAUCCCAAAAAGCCGCUCUCAGUUCGGAUUGCAGGCUGCAACUCGCCUGCAUGAAGCCGGAAUCGCUAGUAAUCGCGGAUCGGCAUGCCGCGGUGAAUACGUUCCCGGGCCUU
rnacentral:rRNA from 1 species